rnacentral:rRNA from 1 species
CUACGGGAUGCAGCAGUGGGGAAUAUUGCACAAUGGGCGCAAGCCUGAUGCAGCCAUGCCGCGUGUAUGAAGAAGGCCUUCGGGUUGUAAAGUACUUUCAGCGGGGAGGAAGGGAGUAAAAUUAAUACCUUUGCUCAUUGACGUUACCCGCAGAAGAAGCACCGGCUAACUCCGUGCCAGCAGCCGCGGUAAUACGGAGGGUGCAAGCGUGAAUCGGAAUUACUGGGCGUAAAGCGCACGCAGGCAGUUUGUUAAGUCAGAUGUGGAAAUCCCCGGGCUCAACCUGGGAACUGCAUCUGAUACUGGCAAGCUUGAGGCUCGUAGAGGGGGGUAGAAUUCCAGGUGUAGCGGUGAAAUGCGUAGAGAUCUGGAGGAAUACCGGUGGCGAAGGCGGCCCCCUGGACGAAGACUGACGCUCAGGUGCGAAAGCGUGGGGAGCAAACAGGAUUAGAUACCCCGGUAGUC